GACGAACGCUGGCGGCGUGCCUAAUACAUGCAAGUCGAACGCAGUGGGGACGGGUGAGUAACACGUGGGUAACCUACCAUCAGAGGGGAUAAACCUUGGACACAGGUGCUAAACCGAUACUGAUGGAUGGACCUGGGGUGCAUUAGCUAGUUGGUGAGGUAACGGCUCACCAAGGCCACGAUGCAUAGCCGUCCUGAGAGGUGGAUCGGCCACACUGGGACUGGGAAAGGGCCCAGACUCCUAGGGGAGGAAGCAGUGGGGAAUCGUCGGCAAUGGACGAAAGUCGGACCGAGCAACGCCGUGUGAGGGAAGAAGGUUUUCGGAUCGUAAAACACUGUUGUUAGAGAAGCGGUAUCUAACCAGAAAGCCACGGCUAACUACGUGCCAGCAGCCGCGGUAAUAC
rnacentral:rRNA from 1 species